rnacentral:snRNA from 1 species
CUGCUCGCUUUGGCAGCACAUACACUAAAAUCGGAACGAUACAGAGAAGAUUAGCAUGGCCCCUGCACAAGGAUGACAUGCAAAUUUGUGAAGUGUUCCAUAUUAAA